rnacentral:lncRNA from 1 species
CGGCAAUCUUGGACUGGCUGUGUCUUUGACUGCAGGGCUACGUAAUCUAGAAAGAAAUUGUCAGGAACUAUUUUGCUCCUUGCGAAGUGGGAAAUGAAUGGCUUAUCUGCAAUAGAACAAUGAGCAAUGGGCAGCGCGGCUGAGAGGCACACAGAGAGAAGGUCGUGGGCUGCCAUCAAAGCUCCACACUGUGCUUUAUAAUAGACCAGAGACCCACAGGCAUGCUUGUCAGCGGGCUCCAGGAGCUCUCCGCGUCUUCUGAUAACCGACGUUCCCACGCACCCGUUUUAUUCCCAAAGCUCCCCGCCAGGUUUUCUGCUAUUUGUAAUCAAAAGAGCCCUGACUACAAAUCACAGUACUAAACUUUUUGUAUUUUUUGAAACCGAAAGAGAGAAAAAGAAAGUAAGACAUAGAAACAAAAUAUUCUGCCUUAAUAUUGUUUCAAAAAUCCCUACCUGGCAGCCCCAAUAAGAAGUUUGCAUUGAGAUAUAAUUUUUCUGAUCAUUUGGAAAUAUGCACAUCCAAAUACAGGAGAGCUCUGUUUAUAACAACAAUAGCAGCAUAGCAUGGCCAUUGACAGACAAGUGGUAUACGUCCAUGCCCAGGAACCAGAUCCGAGCUGCCAAAGCAGAGCGCACCAAACGUAACCACUAGGACACCAAGGCUGGCCCAUAGAUGGGAAGAGAUGAGAGGCCUCUCCUGGGAAGCUGUCCUGCCGCCAGUCCUGGACCAGUGCGCGGACGGCUUCGUAAAGCAGAGACACCAAGCAGGCUGCUCUGGGUAUGAAGACGAGCCUUGUCCUGCCGCCCGUAAACCAGGCGGCGGGCACCGUGCUGCUUUCUUACAAAUGGGCAAGGCGCAGCGAGAGGCGAGGGCUGGGCCAUGGAAGCCCAGAUCCAUCACAGAAUGAACAGAAACCGUUACAAGCGUGGAGUUUGUCAAAGAAUCCGGAUUUUGGUCCUAAACGCAAAGGUAGCAGGGGGCUUCCCUUAAAAAUGGCCUUUGAGACAGCCUUCACAAAAAAAUCAAAAAUAAAAAAUGAGUUCUUUUUGGGUACAAACAUAAAUAUUCACUUGUGAGAUGUUGCCUUUGAACUUUAUUUCUGAUGCUUUCAUUCCAAUGCAGAUCGAGAUUCUGCUGCAAAAUGGGGAAUCCAAGUGCAGCGCUGGAAAUCCGGGGUCACGCUCCAGCUGGCCUGUCUUGCAAGGGGCAUUGGGCAUCUUCCCAGGGAAGCAAACAAUGCUUGCACAUAUUUUUUGAUGAAUACUCAUCCCACCGAUAAAAUAACUUACUAAUCAAACAAAGAGGAAAGUAUGUGGAGUAAGUAUAGACAAAAAAAAAAAAAUCACAGACCUGAUGUAUAUCAAUGCUAUCCUCAUGAUUAACUUCAUAGGGAACUCUUCUCUU